CAAUAGCGUAUAUUUAAGUUGUUGCAGUUAAAAAGCUCGUAGUUGGAUUUCGGAUGGGACUUGCCGGUCCGUCGUUUCGAUGUGCACUGGCCAGUCCUAUCUUGUUGUCGGGAACUAGCUCCUGGGCUUCACUGUCCGGGACUAGGAGCUGACGAGGUUACUUUGAGUAAAUUAGAGUGUUCAAAGCAAGCCUACGCUCUGAAUACAUUAGCAUGGAAUAACACGAUAGGACUCUGGCUUAUCUUGUUGGUCUGUGAGACCAGAGUAAUGAUUAAGAGGGACAGUCGGGGGCAUUCGUAUUUCAUUGUCAGAGGUGAAAUUCUUGGAUUUAUGAAAGACGAACUUCUGCGAAAGCAUUUGUCAAGGAUGUUUUCAUUAA
rnacentral:rRNA from 1 species